CCAGCAGYCGCGGUUAAACCAAGACGGUCAAAUUAUAUAUUUACGGUGAAAAAACAGUUAAAUCGAAAAAGUCUACUAAAUUCUAAUAAAAAAGUGAAAUUUGGUCAUUAGCGAGAAACUUAACUUAGGCUGAGACAUUGAAGCUGUGAAAACCUAGAGGGAAACUGGGAUUAGAUACCCCACUAUUCUUGGAUAUAAAAUAACUUUUGUUUACCGAAGUACUAUGAAUUAAAUAUUUAAAACUUAAAGGGCUUGGCGGUAUUUUAGACCUCUCAGGGGAACCUGUCUCAUAACCGAUAAUCCACGCUAGACCCAACCCCUUUUUGCAUUCAACUUGUAUACCGUCGUCGUCAGGUAACUUUUUAGAAUAAAGAAGUUAGCAAGUAAACUGAUUCCUAAGUUUAUACGUCAGAUCGAGGUGCAGUUAAUAAAGGGGAGAGGAUGGGUUACAAUUAUACAAUUAUAAUACGAGAUAAUUAUUUGAAACAGAAUUGAAAGGAGGACUUGAAAGUAAGAUAAAGUAUAUAAACGUUCUGAAUAAGGCUCUGAAAUGUGCACACAUCGCCCGCC
rnacentral:rRNA from 1 species